rnacentral:lncRNA from 1 species
GGCUAAACUCACCCAUAGGGUAGAACGGGCUGUUAGAGAGUGAGAUGAUAGAUGGAUCUAUUCCUCACCUUCCAAACCCAGUUUCUUUAUAAAGCAGUAGAAAACAAACCUUUUCAUAGAGCAUCAAAAAGCAAGCUCAAGAACAACACUACAAUCACACCUUUCACGGUAUUAUUUUUCAGGCAUCUGCCCCUGAUUUUAAUCCAAAGGAGCUGCUUUUGGAACUGGCGUGUCCGGCUUUGGUGUUUGCCUGCUGAGGAAGAGGAGAUAACUUUUUGAACCCACAAGACUGAAACAACUUCCCUUAACUGAAAUGACCCCAGCAGAGCUAUUCACUAGAAGACAUCCUCCUUGAUUUCUUGGGGGGCCCAUAAGAUGACUGAAGUUGUAGAACAGCAAAGACUUGGAACAGACAUCGAGGUCCUAUUGCUCCUGUCGGAAACUUCUGUUGACUGCAGCAUGAGUUGGAUGGGACCCAGAGAAACCAAAUACAGACAAGUAAUGAUGAGUUGGCCAUACAAGCAAGGAAAAUCACAGAUAACAGGUGCACACCAAUUAGCAAUGUAUCUUUUGGGUCAUCCAGUACAUCUUUCUGACACUAUGAAGUUGUUUCUUAUGGCAUAUUUUUGUGGUUUUUUGUGCCUAGAUUAAAUUUCCUAAGUGAUGCCUAUCUCAAGGGAGAGGUUGUGUUGCCUAGAGCAUCCUGCUGUCAGGAGUUUUUUCCCAUUGUUAACAUCAUCAUAUUUCUUCUAUUUAUGUCCCUUUACAAAUUUCCUUCUUUCCCUUUGAUCUCUUUUAACUAGUGUGAUGUUGUCUUUAGCUAGCAUUAAGGAAACUCAUAGAUAUUUAGCUCACCUAAUCUUUCCUAAUGUAGCAGUCCUUUCACCCCUCUUGUUAUUCUUCAUUUCUUCUCAUCACACAACUGCCUGUCAGUAUCUUUUUUAGUUAUGAGAUUUUAAAGACGUGGCGCAUUUCUCUGAUCUAACAACAGAUCUGGUGUAGAGCUGAGCCCCCUUAGUGUCUUGUCACCGUGUCCAGGGGGAAGCUGCAAGCAUUCUGAACAGGCACACAGGUAUCCUGCUUGAACCACUUCCUUGGUGCCACUUUAUUGACCCACAAAACACUACCAAAACAGUUAACCUAGGAGUUAAAAAAUAAAGUACAUGGCAUUUUUUAAUUUAUUUCUCA